GAUGAACGCUGGCGGCGUGCCUAAUACAUGCAAGUCGAGCGAACAGAUGAGAAGCUUGCUUCUCUGAUGUUAGCGGCGGACGGGUGAGUAACACGUGGGUAACCUACCUAUAAGACUGGGGUAACUCCGGGAAACAGGGGCAAAUACCGGAUAAUAUUUUGAACCGCAUGGUUCAAUAGUGAAAGACGGUUUCGGCUGUCACUGAUAGAUGGACCCGCGCCGUAUUAGCUAGUUGGUAAGGUAACGGCUUACCAAGGCGUCGAUACGUAGACGACCUGAGAGGGUGACCGGCCACACUGGAACUGGGACACGGUCCAGACUCCUACGGGAGGCAGCAGUAGGGAAUCUUCCGCAAUGGGCGAAAGCCUGACGGAGCAACGCCGCGUGAGUGAUGAAGGUCUUCGGAUCGUAAAACUCUGCUGUUAGGGAAGAAUAAAUUUGUUAGUAACUGAACAAGUCUUGACGGUACCUAACCAGAAAGCCACGGCUAACUACGUGCCAGCAGCCGCCGUAA
rnacentral:rRNA from 1 species